UUGGCUGCUCAAUGGCCCCACCCAUGCGCCGCCGGCGAGGUGAACGAACUAUGCAUGCGCGUUCCCGUCUGCCGGCCCCCCCUCAAAGCUUCCCUCUAGCGCGCUUGCGCCAACCAGCCGUCUUGCUGUCCGUGCGGCGCAAGCGCGGCAGCCUAACCGUUGCCUGGGAAAAGAGGAGGAAAAUAAUAAUCAGAAAAGAGUCUGUCAAAACCGCAAAUAAGAAUCGCAAAUCGGGGGACUGCGGAUCUAAGCGUACCGUGCUUACAGUGUCAUGCAUUGCGUGCUGAAAGGGGGAUGAUACCAUGUCAGCGUUGAAGAAGUGAUGUGGGAUUUAGAAGAGUUGCUGUCGCUGGCGUUGAGGGAAGUGAAUUAACAGAGAAUUGCAACACCCUCAAUUUCUGAAUCAUCUUCAUUUAAUGUCAUUUUUUCCUUUGCUGUUAGUUAAGCUCCCUCGCACUAUCUGGAUCUGUAACGCCUCUCAUUCAAAUUUCCUGUUAAUGUCAUAGUAGGGAAACAGUUAAAGCAACCAAUAUGAAAAAUAUAUCUAAAAAUACAUCCACAAAAGCAUUUUAAGAUUGAUUUUUUUCCUGAUUUUAAUUUUUUUUUAAAAAAGAAAGCACUGGAUACAUUUGCUAUGCAACGUUGCUGUUUUGAGAGCUGCCAUGAUGCUGUACUUAAAAUGUCAUUUGGUUGAUAGUUUUAUAUUAUUAUUUUCAUGAAAUGCAAUGGUAAAACAAUUUUUUAAAAUUUUCUUUUUAUUGAAAUUGUUAUAUAGUGGGAGGAACUUGAAAGAGAUACAAAUGCUAUGGUGGCCAUAUCACACAUUUAAUGACAUCAUCACCACAUUGGAUAUGCUCAUAAUGUAAGAAUAAUUACUGUUUCCCUUUGUUUUAAAAAAAUGCUUUUUCAAUAAACUUGCCAUUUACAUUAACUAUACAACUUCAAAAACAAACAAAUCUUUAAGAAUAUGCACACUUGGCAAAAUAACAAUGGAUUCUUUUUUUUCUUUGCAUCAAUAAAUCAAGCCUAACAACUGGU